UAGGCAUUUGCAUCAGCAACCCUGUGGCCAGAGGAUGAAUCCGCUUCCUCCUCAUCCACUGCUGCUGGGAUCCAGUAAAACCUUUUCAGAGGAGAAGUUAAACAGAAGAAAACAGCUGAAGAAUCAAUCUGGUCCACAUUAGCAAACAAGAACUGAGCAGUAAAGUGCUCUUCAAAAGGUGACAUCACACUGGAGCUAUCCAUGGAAACAUCAUGAGGAUCAAAGACGGCUGUGGCACGCUUCUCCUCAAAACAGCUAAUGAUGGCCUCAUUUCUGGCCGAGAUUUGGAAGGAAAGGGAAGCUGUAAGGGCCUCCGCAGAGAGCUGGUUAUAUUACUGGGACACCACUAAUAAACGCUGGUGCCGGCCUGGGAUUCCACUUCUUGCUCCCCCUCUGUGUUCCCCCACAGCAUGGAGAUGGGCUCCAGA